CCAGCGCAUUGACUGUGCGGCCGGCCAGUGCGGUGAAAGAGGGAGGGAGAGGGGGAGGUCAUCGGUCAUCGCGCCCCUCUCCAGAGCACCACCAUCCAUGGCCGUGGGGGGCCUUCUGCGGGGCCUCGUUUCGCCGGCGCGGGGAGCCGCCGCCUGGCUGCCCUGCCACGAGCCCUUCGCCUCCUGGCACCCCUGGCUCCCCUUGCUGCCGCGCCUCCGCCCGCCCGCAUCCGACGGCUUCAAGCUUCUCUUCGUGCUGCUGCUCUUCUCCGCCGCUCUGGCCGAGGUCCGCUACAUCGCCUCCUCCUCCAUGGCGCCCACGCUCCGCCCAGGCGACCGAGCCGUCGCCGAGAAGGUUACAUACUUGUUCCGGAGGCCAUGUAUUGGGGAUAUAGUGUUUUUCAAAGUGCCUUCCGCUGCGCAGAAUUAUGGUGUCAAUAAGGAUGUUGUCUUUAUUAAGAGAGUAUUGGCAACACCUGGAGAUUUCAUUGAGGUUCGACAAGGGCAGCUUAUUGUAAAUGGUAUUGCACUGAAGGAGCAUUACACAGCAACCCAUGCGUUGUACACAACGGAAGCAAUGGUCCAGAGGUUUUAAAGUUCUGUUAACAAAAGGGUUAACAGACGUGACGAGAGAAUUUCCAUUCUCCACAAGAAGAUGACCAAAAGUGGACUGGCUGCUCCAUGUUGUUGACUUCUUGAGUGCCUCGUUGUAAUCAAUGGCCUCAGAUGCGCCUUCCUGAAGGUCAUGUAUUCGUCAUGGGUGACAACCGAAAUAACAGCUGUGAUUCUCGUGCCUGGGGGCCUCUUCCCAUUGCCAACAUCGUUGGAAGGUACAUGACGUCCUUUACAAGAUCCUCUUUCCAGUAACUGAAGUGAAGAGGUUCCACUCAAUGUUCCUAAUGCUGAUGUCGCCUCAUAAUCGUAGUUAGAGAGUUGUGUUAGGGUGGAGCCAGGCUGCUGCUAUCUUGUCAACUUUUGCCAGAACUAGCCCUCCGAGUAUGCUGUAGCGCUGUUGUUGUAUUGUGUUUGUAUAUGAUCGCCUUUCUCCCACCAGUGGGAACUAGAGGUUAGCUCUGCCGCUCGCAGUUGGCACGAGCCCUCAGGCCGCCUCACGCUGUCGUGUGUUGAGCUUGUGAUUACCUUAGGGGAUGAAGCUUGUCGGCGCCGAUGCUAAAUGUCGAUUACAAUUUGCAUAGGAAAUUUGGACAUGAUUGUGUUCUUGUUCCAGACUGCGUGUUUUUAAA